AGCCUGUGAUGGAAUAAGAGCAGUGGACAGAGGAGAUUUCUGAAAAAUCAUUCGGAGGCU
rnacentral:snoRNA from 1 species